CAAAAAGACGUGCAAGGCAUGAGUGCAACCGAGGGCCGCCCUUUGCAUGCUUUUGCCUCAGGUGACUUAAACCCAAAGUGGUGACAUGCUGCAAAAGGUGAAAGCAAGCACUGAGAGGACAACACAGCUGACGGACAAAGAGAUUGAGCAUGGAAAGAAAGAAAGAAAGAAGCAAACAUCGACUUUGGAGUUUCCCGUAUCAGGAAGGAAAAUAUGGUGGAUUCGCUCCUCUUGCGUUGAAGUGUCAACACGUCCGCUCUUAUCUACUGACUCGCCUGCUGUGCUGCUGUCACAACUGUUUGGGUUCACAUGAUUGUUGUGAAUGCUAUGCAUUGUCAAAGAAGCAAUAAAAACAUCUUGUAUUAUGUCCACCCAUCCA